rnacentral:rRNA from 1 species
UACCAGCUCUCCGAGUGGUAGGGAUGAUUAUUGGGCUUAAAGCGUCCGUAGCCGGCUUAGCAAGUUUCCUGUUAAAUUCAGCGACCUAAUCGUUGAGCCGCGGGAAAUACUACUAGGCUAGGAGGCGGGAGAGGUCGACGGUACUUCUGGGGUAGGGGUGAAAUCCUAUAAUCCCGGGAGGACCACCAGUGGCGAAGGCUGUCGACUAGAACGCGCUCGACGGUGAGGGACGAAAGCUGGGGGAGCGAACCGGAUUAGAUACCCGGGUAGUCCCAGCUGUAAACGAUGCGGGCUAGGUGUUGGGGUGGCUACGUGCCACUUCAGUGCCGUAGGGAAGCCAUUAAGCCCGCCGCCUGGGGAGUACGGCCGCAAGGCUGAAACUUAAGGAAUUGGCGGGGGAGCACCACAAGGCGUGAAGCUUGCGGUUC